rnacentral:lncRNA from 1 species
CUGCAAUCUUGUGAGCAGAAAUAAGAUUAUAAAGGAUUGAGGAGUAAGUGAAGGAAUGUACUGGGGAAGAGAGUGAGUUGUUGUUGUUAUUGUUCUUCGUCUUCUUCUCCUCCUCCUCUUUCUCUCCCCCCUCCUCCUCCCCUUCCCCUCUCCUUCUUCCUCUUAUAUUUUCUUCUAUUUUUCUACGUUCCUUUAACAAAUAGACUAGCAGACUUAUGAUGAAAUAUAUUCUAUUUUUAAAACAUAUACUUAAAAAAAUUCAGACGUUAUCUACAGAACAAAAUAUCUCUACUUUAGAAGGCUAUUGAUAACUACCAACUUUCAUUUAAUUGGGUAUAUUUUUUUGAGAUUAGAAGUAUCUAUCUAUCUAUGUAUCUAUCUAUCUAUCUUUAGCUUUAGGUUUCAAACUAUAAAGGAAAAUCUUUUUUUUUUUAAUUUUUAUUUAUUUAUGAUAGUCACAGAGAGAGAGAGAGAGAGAGGCAGAGACACAGGCAGAGGGAGAAGCAGGCUCCAUGCACGGGGAGCCCGAUGUUGGAUUCGAUCCCGUGUCUCCAGGAUCGCGCCCAGGGGCAAAGGCAGGUGCUAAACCGCUGCGCCACCCAGGGAUCCCUAUAAAGGAAAAUCCUAAUACAGAACGGAGUUAUUUUAAGAUAACAAUUCUAUGAAGAGACUAUGGGCAAUGCAGAGCUGUUCUGAAAAUUAUAAAAACUGUUUCAAUGAGGAAAAGUCACUUCUUCUCGGAACGUUCUUGCUUAUAAUGCCUUUAUCAAGAGUAUUUGCUUUUUGGACCUCCUCUGUGGGUACUUCCUUUACAACUGGCUCCAAUCAACCUUUCCUUCCAAGUACUCUGCCUUCUUUUCUCAGGUGAGUUAGUCAUAUGUGUAUCUGCAGCUAAAUAAUACAGUUACAAAGGGAGUGUUUUGUUAUUCUCUAUGGUUUGCAAC